rnacentral:rRNA from 1 species
AGCUGCAGUAUCUUGACUGUACAAAGGUAGCAUAAUCAUUAGUUUUUUAAUUGAAAGCUGGAAUGAAUGGCUGAAUAAGAAAAUGACUGUCUCUUUUUAAUUAAUUAGAACUUUAUUUUUAAGUUAAAAAGCUUAAAUUUUAUAGAAAGACGAGAAGACCCUAUAGAGUUUAAUAAGGUUGAAUUUGUUUAAAUUGAAGAUUUAAAGUUUAAAUGAAUUUAGCUUAUUUUGUUGGGGUGACAAUAGAAUUUAAUUAACUUCUUUAUAUAAUAUCAUUGAUUUAUGAAUAAAUGAUCCUAAUUUUAAGAUUAAAAGAAAAAAUUACCUUAGGGAUAACAGCGUAAUUUUUUUGGAGAGUUCUUAUCAAUAAAAAAGAUUGCGACCUCGAUGUUGGAUUAAAGUUAAUUACUGGUGUAGAAGCUAGUAUAUUAAGUCUGUUCGAC